rnacentral:rRNA from 1 species
UACGGAGGGAGCUAGCGUUGUUCGGAAUUACUGGGCGUAAAGCGCACGUAGGCGGCUUUUUAAGUCAGGGGUGAAAUCCCGGGGCUCAACCCCGGAACUGCCCUUGAAACUGGAGAGCUAGAAUCUUGGAGAGGCGAGUGGAAUUCCGAGUGUAGAGGUGAAAUUCGUAGAUAUUCGGAAGAACACCAGUGGCGAAGGCGACUCGCUGGACAAGUAUUGACGCUGAGGUGCGAAAGCGUAGGGAGCAAACAGG